rnacentral:lncRNA from 1 species
UGGCCAUUAACUGAGUCUUCCUUAUGCUGCUGGAGGAGCUCGGAUUCAUUCUCCUCCGUGUCCAAUGCCCACGCGCCCGGUUUCGCCCACGCGUUCACUGUUGCCGCCAUUGUCGUUCCUCUAUUUCUCCCAAUUCGUAUAUAUUUCUAAAUCUCUCUUCAGAGAUAGGUUUUAUGAAGCCAAAAGAAGGAAGUUACAAAAGACAACGGGGGAAAAAUUGACGGUUAGGAUUCCGUGUAGGAAUUUCUGUGAUCUGAUUGGAAAUAUUGAUGUACGGCUAAGAUGGAGUAUGUUUUCAUUGGAAAUUUG